rnacentral:rRNA from 1 species
AGAGUUUGAUCAUGGCUCAGAGCGAACGCUGGCGGCAGGCCUAAUACAUGCAAGUCGAGCGCACCUUCGGGUGAGCGGCGGACGGGUGAGUAACGCGUGGGAAUAUGCCCUUUGGUACGGAACAACUGAGGGAAACUUCAGCUAAUACCGUAUGUGCCCUUCGGGGGAAAGAUUUAUCGCCAUUGGAGUAGCCCGCGUUGGAUUAGGUAGUUGGUGGGGUAAAGGCCCACCAAGCCGACGAUCCAUAGCUGGUCUGAGAGGAUGAUCAGCCACACUGGGACUGAGAUACGGCCCAGACUCCUACGGGAGGCAGCAGUAGGGAAUCUUGCGCAAUGGGCGAAAGCCUGACGCAGCCAUGCCGCGUGAAUGAUGAAGGUCUUAGGAUUGUAAAAUUCUUUCACCGGGGAAGAUAAUGACGGUACCCGGAGAAGAAGCCCCGGCUAACUUCGUGCCAGCAGCCGCGGUAAUACGAAGGGGGCUAGCGUUGCUCGGAAUUACUGGGCGUAAAGGGCGCGUAGGCGGACAGUUUAGUCAGAGGUGAAAGCCCAGGGCUCAACCUUGGAAUUGCCUUUGAUACUGGCUGUCUUGAGUUCGGGAGAGGUGAGUGGAAUGCCGAGUGUAGAGGUGAAAUUCGUAGAUAUUCGGCGGAACACCAGUGGCGAAGGCGACUCACUGGCCCGAUACUGACGCUGAGGCGCGAAAGCGUGGGGAGCAAACAGGAUUAGAUACCCUAGUAGUCC